GAUUUGGAAACGAAUUCAGUUCGGCCUCUUAGGAUCCUCACAGACACUUGGUGUUCUUCCGGCCAAUUUCUCCCGGACGGUACUCUUCUCCAUACCGGAGGUGAUCUUGAUGGGUUCCGCAAAUUCAGAAAAUUCACUCCUUGUGAAUCUUCUAGCUCGGUUUGUGAUUGGGAAGAACUUCAAAAUGUUCAGCUUUCUCAAGGGAGAUGGUAUUCCACGAAUCAGAUAUUACCCACCGGAGAAAUCAUAAUUGUCGGCGGCCGUGCUGCUAGUAGUGUUGAGUUUUUUCCACCGAGAGAAACCGGAGCGGUUGAAUUCCCUUUCUUAACUCAAGCUGAAGAUAGACAACAUGAUAAUCUUUAUCCUUAUGUUCAUUUGCUACCAAAUGGACAUCUCUUCAUUUUCGCCAACAAUAAAGCCGUCAUGUAUGAUUUUACGGCAAAUAAUAUAGUUAAAGAUUACCCAAUACUCGACGGUGGUCCAAGAAACUACCCAUCAGCAGGAUCAUCAGCUAUGUUGGCCCUAACACAGGAUUAUUCCUCUGCCACCAUUGUUAUUUGUGGUGGAGCUCAAUUUGGGGCUUAUUUACAGAGGAGCACAGAUACUCCUGCACAUGGGAGUUGCGGUAGAAUUGAAGCCACCGGAGAAAACCCAGUUUGGGAAAUGGAAGAUAUGCCCUUUGCGAGAAUCAUGGGUGAUAUGGUGAUGUUACCAACCGGAGAAAUUCUUAUCAUUAAUGGAGCUCAAGCAGGAACACAAGGCUUUGAAAUGGCGUCAAAUCCUUGUUUGAACCCAGUUUUAUACAGACCAGAUGAACCUUUAGGACUCCGAUUCAUGACUUUGAAUCCCGGUACAAUUCCAAGAAUGUAUCACUCCACAGCCAAUUUGCUUCCGGACGGUCGGAUCUUGCUCGCCGGAAGCAACCCACAUUUUUUUUACAAGUUCGGGGUGGAAUUCCCGACGGAAUUAAGGAUCGAAGCAUUUUCUCCGGAGUAUUUAUCAGCAGACAGAGCAAACCUCCGACCAGUUCUGGUAGAAUUGCCGGAAAAGCUCAAAUACGGUGAGGAUUUUGGGGUGGCAGUGACGGUGGAGCUGCCGGUGGUUGGCAUUAUUGAGGUGAAUAUAGCGAGUGCUCCAUUUUCAACACAUUCGUUUUCACAGGGGCAAAGGCUUGUGAAAUUGAAAGUAACGAGCGCUAUUCCCGAUGAUGCCGGUAAAUAUAGGAUCGGAUGUACAGCACCGCCGGACGGGAAGGUGGCGCCGCCGGGAUAUUACAUGGUAUUUGCUGUAAACCAAGGAGUGCCAGGUGUAGCACGAUGGGUCCAGAUAGUUGUUUGAAA
rnacentral:misc_RNA from 1 species